CUGGUGACUUGAAGCUGGUCUCCCAGCUUCAAGUGUGGGAGGGAGUUCGGGCUCUGAGUGGGAGUUCUGCCAGCUUGUUGCUGCCGUUUCUUUCCCCUUAUUCGUGAAAUGCGGGGGCUGACAGAGGCUCUCCAGGACAGUGCUUCUCAGGUUUUAACGUGCGGAUCUUGCCCAGGUGUGCGGAUCUGGGGACAGCCUGACGUUCUGCAUUCCAACCCCAUCGCAAGAGGCCAGUGACGCAUGUGCUCAAACCACACUCGAACACGCAGUGACCAACCCCAAGGGACAGCCCAGACCCCAAAGACAUUGGUGCUUCUGGUUCUCUGACUUUUGGACUCCGAUUGGGACUUACACUUUAGGCGCCUGUCCUCAGACCUUCAGACUUGAACAGCUGUCCGGGUUCUCCACACUGCAGAUCAAGGGAUUUCUUGGCCUCCAUAACCAUGAUUUUUUUUAAUCGACUUCUGAAUAAGAAUUUGGAAGGUCCCAAUGUGAAAUGCCCAAGAAGAAAUUUCAUGGUCAUAUCUCAGUGGUUCUUCAGUGACAAGCAUGGUAAAGAAGUGUUACAUUCCAUCAGCCUCACAGAAUGUGUUGUAGGAUGUAUUACCUAGGCCUUCCUUCAGUCUCCUGGAGCUUACGUUCCUUCUCUUGUGGGUUCUUCUUUAUGCUGCCAUGUACUACGGUCCUAGUUUGAUAUAAAACUUGAAUUCACAGUUUCACAUCCCCUUCUCCCACGUAUUCACCAAACAUCUUAGGCAACAUCCUUCUCAGAGCCUUAGUUUCAUUACUCAUAAUACAAAAUGAAAAUACCUACCACUCAGAUCUUCCUUGCUAGGGCUUGAGUAUAACUCCUCUUCUAAAAUAUUCUGUAUCUUUUCCUCGUAUAACUGGGGAUUUACUUCAGUUUAAUGGCAACUCAUUUAGUUAUGUUCUCAGUGUUAGACACAAUAUCUUAUAUGUUCAUAAAAAUUGCAUUUGAGAGGAUUUCUAUGGGCUUGGGAAAAAACAAUCAUGUAGUUUAUAGGUUUUGCAUUUACUUUCAGAAAGGCAAAUUAUUUUAGAAAGGCAAUUAUUUGUCUUCAACUUUCCAACUUAUUGUGGACUUUUUUUCCACGUUGGCUUCUGAAAAGAUACAAAGAACAAUUCUACCGUUUCCUCUGUCUCCUUUUCCCACAUUUCUUAUUUUUCAUGACUAGAAACAGCUUACACUCAUAUCCAUACUAACAACAUGACCUGUCCUCUUUCCCCAUCAUCCCUUAAAAUGUUAUGAAAGUUUAUGACCAUUGAGUGUUAGUCCAUCUUCAUGUAAAAAUUUUUUGGAAGGUGAGUUGCUCUAAGAUUUAUCUUUUUACCAUCAAUCCACAUCCAUCUACAGCCAUCACCCUAAUCCCUGCCACCCUCCCACUGGUUCUACCUGACCUGUGAUCUAUGGGAAAUACCUUUGACUUAUAGUCAGCAUCUCUAGUUUGAGUUCUGGUUUUAUUCCUUAAGAGGUCUAGAAAAGUCCCCUUAAUCAGGGUUCCCAGUUGGGUUCACUCUCCAUAUCAUCUGGGCAGCCUUUUGACUGUUAAAGCACAGUCUUGGAGAUUGAGUGGGGAGAUUGAAGCACAAAAACCUAUUUUAUGAAAUGCUGUCUUAAAUGAUACAAAUGAAGAUUUAAGUUUGGGAUCUAGUGGCCAAAAUUUCUGAAUUACUUCCCUAGCCUGAAAAAUGCUAGGUCUCAUUUAUAGUAAUAUCAUGAAGGUUAAACAAGGCAAUGUAUGGAAAGAACAUUAUAAAUUGGAAAACUGAAUAUAAUACAAGCCCUCAUGAGUCAAUAUUCUUGUGGAAUUUAGAGUAUAAUAAGUUUAUACACAGAGGAUGAGAAACAAACAUUAUCAAUACUGAUGAUCUGAGAUGCUCGUAGUAUAAAAUCUCAGGGUAUACCAGAACACAACUUUAAAAACACAUAAAGGCAUUUUAAAACCAAUAGACAAAAUGUUUUUACUGUACUUUAAAAUUUAAAAAAAUGUAAAAAUAAAUUCCUUCCUUUCUGACUUCCUGAAUUACAUUGACUUCAUUGUGGGAAU